GGGCUUUAGUUCAGUUGGUUAGAACGCUCGGCUCAUAACCGAGAAGUCAUAGGUUCGAGUCCUAUAAGCCCC
rnacentral:tRNA from 1 species